GACGAACGCUGGCGGCGUGGAUUAGGCAUGCAAGUCGAACGGUAUCAUCCUUCGGGGGUGAGAGAGUGGCGAACUGGUGAGUAACACGUAGGUUAUCUACCCUCAAGACGGGGGACAACCCAGGGAAACUUGGGCUAAUACCGGAUGUGAGCAACUUUUAGUUGUUUGAAAGGUGGCGUAAGCUGUCGCUUGGGGAUGAGCCUGCGUCCUAUUAGUUAGUUGGUGAGGUAACGGCUCACCUAGGCAAUGAUAGGUAGGCGGCCUUAACGGGUGGUCGCCCACACUGGGAUUGAGAUACGGCCCAGACUCCUACGGGAGGCAGCAGUCGAGAAUAGUCUACAAUGGUCGGAAGACUGAUAGUGCGACGCCGCGUGAACGAUGAAUCCCUUCGGGGUGUAAAGUUCUUUUAUAUGUGAGCAGUGCUUCUUAUAUUAACAGUAUGGGGAGAGAGAUAUUAGCAUAUGAAUAAGCAACGGCUAACUCCGUG
rnacentral:rRNA from 1 species